CUCCGCGCGGAACGCGAAAAAACCCACUUAGCCGCCGCCGCCGCCGCCUAUGGCGAUGGACGGGAAGGGCGGCGCGCCGCCAGUCCGCCGGAGGUGGAUGCGGCGCAGCUUCUCGCAAUGGAUACGACGAAGAGACCUCUCCGGCUAACCGCGCCUUCGACAAACUAGCAGACAGGACAGGGGACCAAUAUGGAUCAUUGUCAUUAACCAUGCCUCCCCUGUUUAUUCAAGAGGUAUUGAUCAUUCUUCUCCCAAGUAUCCUAACUAGUAGCUUUUAGAAUGUCUGGUAGUAACAUUAGUACAUGACUACAUGUGAUGGCUAUUGCUGUGAGAAACCUUUUUAGCUACUGCCAUGAUUGAUCAUUUGUUAGUGCCAUUAAUUAUAUUCGCAUCCAUCCAUAACCGAAACAUCAUGACGAUUUCAGCUAUAUUGACACUUGAUCACCAAUCGACAUAGAUUGUCUCAUAUACGACUAGUAUUGCAAUUAGUACAUGUUUGGAUGUCGCUAUUUAUGGCUAUUGUAGUAUAGGAAGAUGACAGGAUGUUUCUGAGCCAACGACGCGAUCUCUACAGCUGGGACCUGGAUCCUACAAGUCGCGUGUAUAUGGCCGUGCACUCAGCGGCGGAGACGUUGAUUUCAGAACCAGGGUUUUGUUAGCGUUCAUUAAUUGCGCCCGGUAAGCAUGCAGGGCCUUGCGAGAUCACAUGCGUCUAUCAAUCUGGCAAAUCUCGUAGGCUCUCAAAUGCAUCCAUCUAUUCCUUUCCAUCCAUUGAUUAUACUCAAUUAUACUCAAACCAGUGGCAAGUGAUACUCCAGUUGGAUUUGGAAGCGAACGGUGAACUGUGCGUCUGUGUGCCUGACUGACUGGCUGGCGUCUUUGCAGCGGCCGGACCGCGGGAGCCGCGCAUCAUGAGAAGUUCAGCAACCCACGUUGCCGGGCACCCAUGGGACUUCAGGCAGGCGUACCGCCUUGCAGCGACUGUCAGUCAUCCGCUGCUGUUGCUUGCUACAGUGCUACUGCUCGACGCAGAUCCACGCCUACAUAUGCCGCAGCAGAAGAGAAGAAAAGGGUCGUAAACUGCGUCAGCAUCCAAAGGCCCCCAAUCGAGGACAUUAUUCACGGUAAAGCAAGUCACUGCUCAGGUCAGGACUCAGGAGUGGUCUCGGAAGGGGGAGAGCGUCUCGUACAGUCUAUAACGUGGUUUUAGGUUGUGUUUGGUUCUCGCAUUCUCGGCUAUACUCUACAACUCUUUAUCAACAAAUAUUGUUAUACUUAUCUAAGUUGAGAUGAUCAAAUUCUUAGCUACAUCUUAAAGAUCAAAUUCCAAGUUUAAGGAAAUCUUUGCCAA